rnacentral:rRNA from 1 species
UACAGAGGGGGCAAGCGUUAUUCGGAAUUAUUGGGCGUAAAGGGCGCGUAGGCGGCUUGGCAAGUGGAUGGUGAAAUCCCUCGGCUUAACCGAGGAACGGCCGUCCAAACUGCUUCGCUUGAGACCGGGAGAGGUGAGUGGAAUUCCCAGUGUAGCGGUGAAAAUUCGUAGAUAUUCGCAAGAACACCAGUGGCGAAGGCGGCUCACUGGCCCGGUACUGACGCUGAGGUGCGGAAAGCGUGGG